UACGGAGGCGGCAAGCGUUGCUCGGAAUCACUGGGCGUAAAGGGCGCGUAGGCGGGAUGGCAAGUCGGUCGUGAAAUCCUUCGGCUCAACCGAAGAACGUCGGCCGAUACUGCCGUUCUUGAGGGAUGCAGAGGAGAUUGGAAUUCCCGGUGUAGCGGUGAAAUGUGUAGAGAUCGGGAGGAACACCGGUGGCGAAGGCGGGUCUCUGGGCAUCUCCUGACGCUGAGGCGCGAAAGCGUGGGGAGCAAACGGGG
rnacentral:rRNA from 1 species